UUGUCCACAGCGGGCACACCCGUCCUCCAGCCGCGCCGCGUGGGGAGAGAGCACUCUGUUGGUAUAGUCCUCUUUUGUUGGCAGAAGAUGUCCUGCUGGGAAAAUACCCCGGGCCUGACGGUACCCGAAGAGAAAGCCCCGGCUAAAUAUGUGCCAGCAGCCGCGGUAAUAUGUAGGGGGCGAGCGUUGUUCUGAAUUAUUGGGGGUAAAGCGCGCGCAGGCGGUUUUUUAAGUCUGAUGUGAAAACCCCCGGCUCAACCCCGGAGAGUCACUUGAAACUGGGGGACUUGAGUGCGGGAGAGGGGAGCGGAAUUUUCCGUGUAGCGGUGAAAUGUGUAGAGAUCUGGAGGAACACCCGUGGGGAAGGCGGCUCUCUGGGCCUCUAACUGACACUGAGGCGCGAAAGCGUGGGGAGCAAACACGAUUAGAUACCCCGGUAGUCCACGCCCUAAACGAUGAGUGAUAGGUGUUAGGGUCUUACACGCCUUCAGUAACGAAGCUAACGCAGUAAGCUCUCCGCCUG
rnacentral:rRNA from 1 species